GGGGAUUUAGUUCAGUGGUAGAGCGCUUGCCUAGCAAGCGCAAGGCCCUGGGUUCGAUCCCCAGCUCCG
rfam:Rattus norvegicus chromosome 1, whole genome shotgun sequence.